AGUUUCCUACGGGGGGCAGCAGUGGGGAAUAUUGGGCAAUGGGCGCAAGCCUGACCCAGCAACGCCGCGUGAAGGAAGAAGGUUUUCGGAUCGUAAAGCUCUGUUGUAAGUCAAGAACGGGUGUGAGAGUGGAAAGUUCACACUGUGACGGUAGCUUACCAGAAAGGGACGGCUAACUACGUGCCAGCAGCCGCGGUAAUACGUAGGUCCCGAGCGUUGUCCGGAUUUAUUGGGCGUAAAGCGAGCGCAGGCGGUUUGAUAAGUCUGAAGUUAAAGGCUGUGGCUCAACCAUAGUUCGCUUUGGA
rnacentral:rRNA from 1 species